rnacentral:rRNA from 1 species
CUUUACUGUAAUCUGGUAUUGGCAUGUGAUUUUUAAUACGUAGCAUAGGUGGGAGACUUUGAUGUGUUUCUUCAGGGAAAUGCGGAGUCGUCAGUGAAAUACCACUUUUUGAUGAUUAGAUGUCUAACCCCAAACCAUUAGCUGGUUGGGGAACCGUGCUAGGGGGUCAGUUUGACUGGGGCGGUCUCCUCCUAAAUUGUAACGGAGGAUUGUGAAAGUUUCUUCAGGCCGGUUGGCAAUCGGCUCGAGAGCGCAUGGGUAUAAGGAAGCUUUACUGUGAGACAUACAAGUCGAGCAGUCACGAAAGUGGACCCAAGUGAUCCGGUAGUAGGAAGUGGAACCGCUAUCGCUUAAAGGAUAAAAGGUA